UAACGUCCACAAUGGACUCGCCCUGCCA
rnacentral:sRNA from 1 species